rnacentral:lncRNA from 1 species
ACUUAACAUUAACUACUUUGAUGCAUAGUUUUCAUACAAAAUCUGGCCUUGAAUUACGGUUUGAUGGAGAUGCUGGUGCUGAUCUUCUGCCUCGAUGCCUCCUGAGCAGAAAUCUAUUUCUUUAGAGCAGUGUCUUGCACAUUGGAGGGACCAGUUUGUGUAUCACCACCAUUUUGUUAUCUGUUCUGUAAAAGACUAAAAAAGAAAAAAAAGAGAGCUAAUUUUCAAGCUUGUCACUCCAUUUAUAUUCAUCAACACUUAAGAAAAAUAUUAAAAAUCUGCCCAGUAUAUAAACAGAUGGUAAUCGUUUAACUUUCUUUUGGAUUUAAAAACUUGUUAUUAGUGUUUUUUGGCUCAGUAAAGUUUUUCUGGUAAUUAUCCAUUAUUUUCUUUUCAUUCUGUCUUACAAAAAAAAAAAAAACACCAGAGCUGGACCGUGUCUCUGUACCUAGUGGAAAACACACUGCAGGUUUUAUCACAUUCCUGUUUAACAACAAAAGCAACUUUCACAGACCUACCUGCUUCAUUCAAGAAUCCUAAAAGACUGCGGAGCAAACCUCUUUUGUCUUGAGAAAUCAAAGAGUGAUAGAAAGAUUAGGGAGUCUUCACGUGUUUUAAAG